UCCUUUUGGAUUGAGAAGUCUUCACGGUAGAUUUUUGAUUCAUCGUGUUUCCCAUAAGCUCCUCCAUACAUCUCUAAUCCCAAAUACCAUUCAAGUAGGUGGUCUUCAUAGGAGGAAUCGUCCUCCUCUUCGAACCCCUCUACUUUGUCAUCAUGCAUCAUUGGUUGGUCUUUGGUGAUUGAACAUGCUUCCACUUCCUCAUCCAUUUCCUCCAAUGUCACGCCCAAAUCAUGAUCAUUCAUCUCAACCUCAUCCAAUUGUG
rnacentral:lncRNA from 1 species